ACGUAGGGUGCGAGCGUUAAUCGGAAUUACUGGGCGUAAAGGGUGCGCAGGCGGUUGAGUAAGACAGAUGUGAAAUCCCCGAGCUUAACUCGGGAAUGGCAUAUGUGACUGCUCGACUAGAGUGUGUCAGAGGGAGGUGGAAUUCCACGUGUAGCAGUGAAAUGCGUAGAUAUGUGGAAGAACACCGAUGGCGAAGGCAGCCUCCUGGGACAUAACUGACGCUCAGGCACGAAAGCGUGGGGAGCAAACAG
rnacentral:rRNA from 2 species